rnacentral:rRNA from 1 species
GACGAACGCUGGCGGCGUGCUUAACACAUGCAAGUCGAACGGUAAGGCCCUUCGGGGUACACGAGUGGCGAACGGGUGAGUAACACGUGGGUGAUCUGCCCUGCACUUCGGGAUAAGCCUGGGAAACUGGGUCUAAUACCGGAUAGGACCACUGCCUGCAUGGGUGGUGGUGGAAAGCUUUUGCGGUGUGGGAUGGGCCCGCGGCCUAUCAGCUUGUUGGUGGGGUGAUGGCCUACCAAGGCGCCGACGGGUAGCCGGCCUGAGAGGGUGACCGGCCACACUGGGACUGAGAGACGGCCCAGACUCCUACGGGAGGCAGCAGUGGGGAAUAUUGCACAAUGGGCGCAAGCCUGAUGCAGCGACGCCGCGUGAGGGAUGACGGCCUUCGGGUUGUAAACCGCUUUCAGCACCGACGAAGCGCAAGUGACGGUAGGUGCAGAGGAAGGACCGGCCAACUACGUGCCAGCCGCCGCGGUAAAAC